rnacentral:tRNA from 1 species
GCGGUUAUGGCGAAGCUGGCUAACGCACCUGACUGUGACUCAGGCAUACAUGGGUUCAAGUCCCAUUAGCCGCCCCA